CGCGGAUCGAUUUUUCGAAGUCCGACAACAUCGACUCCGUGAAAAUUCUAUGGCCGGUACCGAUGAAAUUCCCCGACGGCGCCGGAGGAAUCUCAUUCGGCUAUCAUAACCAGGUGCUGCUGCCGCUGCGGAUCAUCGCAAAGAGUCCUGACAAGCCGGUGACGUUGCGCGCGUCGAUCAACUACGCGGUGUGCGAAAAACUUUGCAUCCCGGUCGAGGCGAACGCCGAGCUUGGAUUUGUCAGCGUCGCCAGCACCGAAGACAGCUCCAUCGCCGCGGCGCUCGAAACCGUGCCGAAGCCCGCCAAGAUCGGCGACGCGACGCCGGUCGCGAUCCGCGGCGUCCGGCGCGAUGGCAAGCUGGUGCUGGUCGACGUGGCUCUGGACGAGAAGAAUUCGCCCGGCAAAUCCCGGGAUGUCGAGCUGUUCGCCGAGGGCCCGACCGCAGACUGGGCAUU
rnacentral:misc_RNA from 1 species